AGUGGCAGACGGGUGAGUAACACGUGGGAACGUACCUUUCGGUUCGGAAUAAUUCAGGGAAACUUGGACUAAUACCGGAUACGCCCUUCGGGGGAAAGAUUUAUCGCCGAUAGAUCGGCCCGCGUCUGAUUAGCUAGUUGGUGAGGUAAAGGCUCACCAAGGCGACGAUCAGUAGCUGGUCUGAGAGGAUGAUCAGCCACAUUGGGACUGAGACACGGUCCAGACUCCUACGGGAGGCAGCAGUGGGGAAUAUUGGACAACGGGCGAAAGCCUGAUCCAGCCAUGCCGCGUGUGUGAAGAAGGUCUUCGGAUUGUAAAGCACUUUAAGUUGGGAGGAAGGGCAUUAACCUAAUACGUUGGUGUCUUGACGUUACCGACAGAAUAAGCACCGGCUAACUCUGUGCCAGCAGCCGCGGUAAUACAGAGGGUGCAAGCGUUAAUCGGAAUUACUGGGCGUAAAGCGCGCGUAGGUGGUUCGUUAAGUUGGAUGUGAAAUCCCCGGGCUCAACCUGGGAACUGCAUUCAAAACUGUCGAGCUAGAGUAUGGUAGAGGGUGGUGGAAUUUCCUGUGUAGCGGUGAAAUGCGUAGAUAUAGGAAGGAACACCAGUGGCGAAGGCGACCACCUGGACUGAUACUGACACUGAGGUGCGAAAGCGUGNGGAGCAAACAGGAUUAGAUACCCUGGUAGUCCACGCCGUNAACGAUGAUAACUAGCUGCCGGGGCACAUGGUGGUUCGGUGGCGCAGCUAACGCAUUAAGUUAUCCGCCUGGGGAGUACGGUCGCAAGAUU
rnacentral:rRNA from 1 species